rnacentral:lncRNA from 10 species
ACACACAGCUAGCUCUUCAGGCCAGGCCCCCAGGGUUUCGUCCACCUCUCACCUUUGACGACGCGGUCAGCCCCGGGAGGGGGCGGCGGGGGCGGGGGUGGGGGCGGUGCAGCCCGGGCCGGCUCCGGGGCGGCCAUGCUGGGCCCGGGGCUCGGCUAGGCUCUGGGCCGGGCGGGGUUGGGGGCGGGGGCGGCGGCUACCAGAGCCAAGCGGCGGCGCCGCCGGGGAACAUGGCGGACCCUCUUUCCCUACAGAGGGGCUAAGACCGGCAUGCACUGCGCGUGCGGGGGUGGGGGCGGGGUAGGCUCUAGGGACUUGGGCAAAAUUACUGAAGCUAGGAGAGAAACAGGACGAGGCCAAGGGAUCAGGUUAAAAUUCUUUGCAUGCAGAAUGAAGAAUGAGGAGGUGCUGCGAUCGAACGACUGCGAGGAAACACACCCGCUCUCAUGGCAUUCCCAGUAAACUGAGAAGACGUGAUUAAACCUCAGGAUCUCCUACUAAUAGAGAAAUGUAUAACGAUUUAGCUACCAGAUCUGAAUACUGAAGGGUUGGUAGGGGACCAGAGAAUAGAGGAAGCAUUGUAGGUUCUAGAGUGGAGAAGGGACCAUCCAAAAUGGAGUUUGAAAGAGAAUUCUGGCCUUUGUGUUUAGAGUCUGGAAUUGUCAAGAGUCUGAAAGCACAGAAUAAGACUGCAGCUAGAGCAAUUUAGGCGCCAUAGUUUGUCAAAACAGAGUGGGAGGCAUAACUGCUUUGCCUCCAGUCAUCAUCUGGGGGCAUAUCUACUCUUCGAGGACCAGGGGUUCGGGACCCUGGAACAGGAUCUGAAUUCCAAGCUGACCUCAGGGGUACAUGAAGACUGCUAGAUGAGACGGGAUCUCACUGUGUUGCCCAGGCUGGUCUCGAACUGCUGGACUCAAGUCAUCCUCCCAUCUUGGCCUCCCAAAGUGCUGGAAUUACAGUGGACAACCUUCAAUGCACUGGUACUUUGUACCCUGACCUCUACUGUGAUGAACACUCAACUUGGGCAAGGAAGUGAAAUUCUCCAAAGCAAGGAGGAGGGUGCUCUGAAUAGAUGGACCCUGAUUCUACUUACAAAACUGUGGGAAGAAACCGGAGCUUCCUCCCUCUCUGAGACAACGGUGCCACUGAGACUGCGCCCAGCACCUUAGCACCUGAGGCUGCUACCUGAGAAGUACGCACUGUUCUGGCUUCAUGGAGACCAUGCUCCAUUUCUGCUGUUGAAGUCUUUGAGAGACCAGGAUCAUGGGCUGAGUGCAACCUCCUCCCCAUGCCAUCUGCAGA